AGUGAACGCUGGCGGUAGGCCUAACACAUGCAAGUCGAACGGCAGCACAGUAAGGGCUUGCUCUUACGGGUGGCGAGUGGCGGACGGGUGAGGAAUACAUCGGAAUCUACUUUUUCGUGGGGGAUAACGUAGGGAAACUUACGCUAAUACCGCAUACGACCUACGGGUGAAAGCAGGGGAUCUUCGGACCUUGCGCGAUUGAAUGAGCCGAUGUCGGAUUAGCUAGUUGGCGGGGUAAAGGCCCACCAAGGCGACGAUCCGUAGCUGGUCUGAGAGGAUGAUCAGCCACACUGGAACUGAGACGCGGUCCAGACUCCUACGGGAGGCAGCAGUGGGGAAUAUUGGACAAUGGGCGCAAGCCUGAUCCAGCCAUACCGCGUGGGUGAAGAAGGCCUUCGGGUUGUAAAGCCCUUUUGUUGGGAAAGAAAAGCAGCAGGUUAAUACCCCGCUGUUCUGACGGUACCCAAAGAAUAAGCACCGGCUAACUUCGUG
rnacentral:rRNA from 1 species